rnacentral:lncRNA from 1 species
UGGGAGGGGGCCACUGAAAAGACAUGGUACCCCAGGCUGCCCGUGAGUUAAGCUGCUUUGGUCAUGCGGGAGGUGGGGGUCGGCGGGUUCUUGAGGAGGUAAAGGGAUCUACUUUCUGCUCCUCUGAGGGAGGAUACGCUUCCUAUCUCUUCUCUGAUAUACUGGUCAUCAGCACAAUUCAGGAUCACGGGAAGUGGUGGUGUUGGACAAAGACCACUACCCUAGAACUUUGAAGACCCACUUCCGGCCAUGUCACUUAGUAGCUAUGUCAGCUUGAGUGAGUACUUUAACUGCGCUGGAAACGGGGGUUAGUGAUUCUUCCCUAAGGAUCUCUGUGAGAAUUAAAUGAGGUCACCUGUGUGAAAGCCCUAGCAUGAUGCCUGCUACAUUGUAAGUGCUCAAUACGUGUUCGUUUGUCCCCUUUCUUGCAGCUGCUAUAUUGGGAGGAAGGGUCUACUUUAAGCACAAGCUCGCACAACUGGUGAGUUUUCUCUUCUGUCCUCCACCCCUUGAAUUCAUCCCCUCAAAAUCCUCCCCUCCAAGACUUUUGGAGAAACUAGAGCGCAUUCUCAAUGUCAUGCCCUGGCUUUGGUUUCCUCUCAUCCCAGCACCUGUAGUAUGAUGCUUAUACUGAUGUCAGUCCCAUGGCCAAGAGUCGUAGCUGCCUGGAGUCCUGCACCCCUGACAGACUGGGCAGGAACGAAAGGAUCAGCAGAAAGCUAGACUGGCGGGGGCCAGAUAGCUCAGGUGCUAAUGCCUUGGGUGCUCCGUACCUGUGUGUGUGUGUGUGUGUGUGUGUGUGUGUGUGUGUGUGUUUUAGGGGGAAACUAUUGCUUAUUAGUACUAAAAUGUAACAAUGUCAUGAAGUACUUACCAUACGCUAAGUGCUUUACAUUCCUUUCUUCAUUUAUCUUCACAGCAGCUCUGCAAGAUAGGUAUUGUUAUUGCUACUUUGCAAAUGAAAAUACCGAGGCUCUGAGAAGACAACUUGCUCCAAGCGAUACACCUCUACACCUCGUAAGAAGCUGCGGCAGAGCGAAUGCUAUGUAUUGGCCACACUACUUUCUGUUCCUGGGCAAGCAGGAAAAUGGUUCCUGA